AUUGAACGCUGGCGGCAGGCCUAACACAUGCAAGUCGAGCGAGCGGCGCACGGGUGAGUAAUGUCUGGGAAACUGCCUGAUGUAGGGGGCUAACUACUGGAAACGGUAGCUAAUACCGCAUACCAUCAGAUGUGCCCACAUGGGAUUAGCUAGUAGGGGGGGUAAUGGCUCACCUAGGCGACGAUCCCUAGCUGGUCUGAGAGGAUGACCAGCCACACUGGAACUGAGACACGGUCCAGACUCCUACGGGAGGCAGCAGUGGGGAAUAUUGCACAAUGGGCGCAAGCCUGAUGCAGCCAUGCCGCGUGUAUGAAGAAGGCCUUCGGGUUGUAAAGCACUUUCAGCGGGGAGGCGUUACCCGCAGAAGAAGCACCGGCUAACUCCGUGCCAGCAGCCGCGGUAAUAC
rnacentral:rRNA from 1 species